ensembl:lncRNA
AUGGAUCAGGAGGAACCACUGGACUUCAAGAGCAUCAGGGCCAAGUUCCAGGAGUCAGACAUUUUCCUGAAGCAACCCAAAACCAGGCCUGUUCUCCCAGAGAAGCCAAAGGUCGUCCCUCCCCCCCAGCCACUGAGCCCCACUCACUUCCUCCCCGCAGGUGCACGGGCCUCCCUGCUAACCUCCAUUAACCAAUCCGUAGAGUCAAAGUCCUUGUUUGUCCCCAGAGUGGUCUUCAAGGAUGACAAGAAGGACAGCAAAAGCCCUCUCAUCCAUGCUAAUUCAAAGACAAAAGAGAAGAAUGAUGUGAAAAAGAAAGAGCUGAACAGCAAGACGGCGAAAGAGGAGAAAGGGAAGCUCAACAGUUAUUCACUGGAGGAGAAACAAAAGAAAGAAAAUGGCAGAGGGAAGAAAUCUCCAGGCAUUCCAGCACAGAAAGACACAGAGGUGGCCACGCCCCCGGCUAAAGUCCCAACGCAGAAGAAGAAAGGGAUUCUGGGUUUCAAAAAGUCCUCAAAACAAGACCCAGGAGUGACUGUUCCAGUCCCCAACUCGCAGAGCCUAGAGGACUCAGGACCGACCUCAGCCAUCUUUACGCCUUUUCUCACCGUUAAUGCAAAAGCAGAGGCUGAAGUAUCAAACCCACAAUCCCCUCUAAGCAAAAACCACGUCGGUCUUCAGGAAAUCCCCCCAAUGUCACCCAUUCCUGCACCUCUAAAUGUCUCCCCCCCUCCUGUCUUUAUACCACCUCCCUCAAUCCCUCCUCAGACUGAAACUCCAGCUGAGACAGAAACUCCUGCUUUGCCAGGUCCUACAGCAGCCAGCCAAAAUGAAAGUACUCCUAAUUCCUCCUCUGCUUCCCCGAGCCCCCCAGCCAGCUCUGCCAUCACAGAGGGUCCUGUGGGGGUCUCUGCUCCAUCCCCGCUCCCUCCAGAGUUUGAGGCCGAGGCGGAUGCUGCUCUCCAAGCUCUGAACAUGGACACGGUGGAGAGUCCUCUUCCUCCCACCCUGGACUCCCCCUCGUCCCAGACGCCUCCUAAAGCUGAACGGCCGAUCUCUGUGCUGUCCGCUCUGGAGAGGGCGGAGGACAUGAGCUCUGGAAAAAGAACCCCCCCAGGUGACCUGAGGAUUCUGAGCGCUCUGGAGAAUGCUCGCAAGAAGUCCACCAGCCCUCUGUCCAACCCAACACAAACCUCUCCAUCACCUGAGGAGCUUGCCCCUCCUCGGAGCCCCACCCUGGCUUCACUGGACCUCCCACCCAUUGACUACGAGGAUAAAACUGGAGCGGCUCUUCCACCGAAACCAGAACAGGUUCACGGCACUGACUACCGACAAGCCUCCCCAGUUCAGCAGCGAGUCACGACUAAGGUGGCUGACCCCAUCGCUGACAUGCUGGUAGUUCCCCCCCCUCCACCCAUACGGGCCCACCAAGACCUGAAAGCUGUGCGUUCUGCUCCAGACGAACCUGAUGGGCCUCUGUCUGAUGACUGCAUUCCUCCUCUUCUCCUUGAAGUGAUCCCUGUGCCCCCCGAGUUUUCGGAGGAAACUCCAGAAGUGGAUUCUUCCGAUUGGGAGAAUGAAGAGCACGCAGUUUUUGAUGGUCCAGACACACAGAACCACACAGCGUUCUACAGCUGUGAAGGAACCGAUCCAGAAGCAGGGUUCCAUCCAGAACCCGAGGUCCAUCAAGAACAAGACUUCCGUCCAGAACCCAAUGUCCAUCCAGAACCCGAGGUCCAUCCAGAGGUGGUUUCUAAAGAGGAGCACCUUCAUCAUUCAUUGCCAGAAUUUUCCCUUCCAGUUUUCAAAGAACCAUCACCCAAGGAGGAACUUCAGGCAAACAAUCGCACCAGUUACCAUGACAACGGAGAAACUGCGCCUGAGGACCUCCAGGUUCAAUCGAAGAAGAAAGGAAAGAGCAGCAACAAUGGCAAGAAAACCACAAAGAAAGGAACACCAAAGAAUCCAUAUGUUGAGGCUUCACAAGAACCAGCAAGCAGCCCUGUGCAGCCGCAGGUGCAAGAGAAAACCAGGACGGGCCUGUUUGUGAGGAACGACAAGAAAUCGGUCACGGACGGGCCGGACGAGAAAGAGCUGAAGAAGAGAGAAAAGCAGCGGCUGGAGAAGGAAAAGAAGGAGCUGAAGGAGAAACAAGAGAGGGAGAAGAAAGAGCAGAAGGAGAGGGAAAAGAGGGAGAAUGAGAUGAAGAAGAAAUUCAAGGUGAGUGCUGGGAUUUAG